AACGAACGCUGGCGGCAGGCUUAACACAUGCAAGUCGAGCGCCCCGCAAGGGGAGCGGCAGACGGGUGAGUAACGCGUGGGAAUCUACCCAUCUCUACGGAAUAACGCAUGGAAACGUGUGCUAAUACCGAAUACGUCCUUCGGGAGAAAGAUUUGUCGGAGAUGGAUGAGCCCGCGUUGGAUUAGCUAGUUGGUGGGGUAAAGGCCUACGGAGGCGACGAUCCAUAGCUGGUCUGAGAGGAUGAGCAGCCACACUGGGACUGAGACACGGCCCAGACUCCUACGGGAGGCAGCAGUGGGGAAUAUUGGACAAUGGGCGCAAGCCUGAUCCAGCCAUGCCGCGUGAGUGAUGAAGGCCCUAGGGUUGUAAAGCUCUUUCACCGGUGAAGAUAAUGACGGUAACCGGAGAAGAAGCCCCGGCUAACUUCGUGCCAGCAGCCGCCGUAAGAC
rnacentral:rRNA from 1 species